rnacentral:rRNA from 1 species
GUGGGGAAUAUUGCACAAUGGGCGAAAGCCUGAUGCAGCCAUGCCGCGUGUAUGAAGAAGGCCUUCGGGUUGUAAAGUACUUUCAGCGGGGAGGAAGGCGAUAAGGUUAAUAACCUUGUCGAUUGACGUUACCCGCAGAAGAAGCACCGGCUAACUCCGUGCCAGCAGCCGCGGUAAUACGGAGGGUGCAAGCGUUAAUCGGAAUUACUGGGCGUAAAGCGCACGCAGGCGGUCUGUCAAGUCGGAUGUGAAAUCCCCGGGCUCAACCUGGGAACUGCAUUCGAAACUGGCAGGCUAGAGUCUUGUAGAGGGGGGUAGAAUUCCAGGUGUAGCGGUGAAAUGCGUAGAGAUCUGGAGGAAUACCGGUGGCGAAGGCGGCCUCCCGGACAAAGACUGACGCUCAGGUGCGAAAGCGUGGGGAGCAAACAGGAUUAGAUACCCCAGUAGUCC